rnacentral:rRNA from 1 species
GAUGAACGCUGGCGGCGUGCCUAAUACAUGCAAGUCGAGCGAACAGACGAGGAGCUUGCUCCUCUGACGUUAGCGGCGGACGGGUGAGUAACACGUGGAUAACCUACCUAUAAGACUGGGAUAACUUCGGGAAACCGGAGCUAAUACCGGAUAAUAUAUUGAACCGCAUGGUUCAAUAGUUAAAGACGGUUUUGCUGUCACUUAUAGAUGGAUCCGCGCCGCAUUAGCUAGUUGGUAAGGUAACGGCUUACCAAGGCAACGAUGCGUAGCCGACCUGAGAGGGUGAUCGGCCACACUGGAAAUGAGACACGGUCCAGACUCCUACGGGAGGCAGCAGUAGGGAAUCUUCGGAAAUGGGCGAAAGCCUGACGGAGCAACGCCGCGUGAGUGAUGAAGGUCUUCGGAUCGUAAAACUCUGUUAUGAGGGAAGAAAAAAUGUGUAAGUAACUAUGCACGUCUUGACGGUACCUAAUCAGAAAGCCACGGCUAACUACGUG